GACGAACGCUGGCGGCGUGCUUAAUACAUGCAAGUCGAGCGAACAGACGAUGAGCUUGCUCCUCUGACGUUAGCGGCGGACGGGUGAGUAACACGUGUAUAACCUACUUAUAUGACUGGUAUCACCUCGGGAAACCGGAGCUAAUACCGGAUAAGAUAUUGAACCGCAUGGUUCGAUAGUGAAAGACGGUGGUGCGGUCACUUAUAGAUGCAUCCCCGCCGCAUUAGCUAGUUGGUCAGGUAACGGCUUAUCAAGGGUACGAUGCGUAGCCGAACUGAGAGGCUGGUAGCCCACCCUGGAGCUGGGCCACGGUCCAGGCUACUACGGGACGCAGCAGUAGGGUAUCUUCCGCAAUAGUGGAGAGCCUGGCGGAGCGGGCCCGCGUGAGAUGUGGCGGUCUUGGGAUCGUGAUGCUCUCUUAUGGGUGGUAAACAGAUGUGUCCUUUACCAAGCACGGCUUGACGGUACCUGAUCAGGAAGCCCCGGCUAACUACGUG
rnacentral:rRNA from 1 species